GAUCCAGCUACAAACUCUCCGCCCCGUUGGACUCUUGGCUCUGAAUUCUUUCCUAGCCAGAAUUCAAGUACCAAGGUUGCUGAUCCCAUGUCCGGUCUGACCCCACCGUUUAACACCUGGUUCCCCCUGCCUUCAACACAAUGCUGAGAGCUUAGGAUGAACCUCAGGUCAGAGAGCACAGGCAUUAUUGGAGCAAUUGGCAAAAUGUAAAUAAGGUCCUUGCUGGAAUGAGAAGCCUUCCCAUCAACUCUUCCAAUGCCCUGCCCCCUCCUGCCAUGACCCUGAAAUCAUUUACUGUCUUCUCUAACCAUCCUCCACUAGCAUGUUAACUCUGAAAGAAGACUUACAUCUGAUGUGUUCACCAGUAAACUGACAGCAUGUACAACAGUGACUGCUACAGAAGGAGAGGUCAGUGAAUGAGCCCACUUCACUCCAAAUUCAGAUGGCAUUGCACUAUCUGAUUGGGUGACUACCGAAUAAAACUGCAAGAUG